rnacentral:rRNA from 1 species
AACGAACGCUGGCGGCGUGGAUAAGACAUGCAAGUCGAACGGGACAGACCGAGUAGCAAUAUUUGGAAUGUUCAGUGGCGAACGGGUGCGUAACACGUGGAUAACAUUCCGGAAAGCGGGGAAUAGCCCAGGGAAACUUGGAUUAAUACCGCAUGUGGCCGCAAGGCUAAAGACGGGGACCGCAAGGCCUGUCACUUUCCGAUUGGUCCGCGGCCUAUCAGCUAGUUGGCGGGGUAAUGGCCCACCAAGGCUACGACGGGUAGCUGGUCUUAGAGGACGACCCGCCACACUGGAACUGGUACACGGUCCAGACACCUACGGGUGGCAGCAGUCGAGAAUCUUUCACAAUGGGGGCAACCCUGAUGGAGCGACGCCGCGUGGAGGAUAAGGUCUUCGGAUUGUAAACUCCUGUCAUGCGAGAACAAGGUACUCAGGCUAAUAACCUGAUUGUUUGAUGGUACCGCAAGAGGAAGAGACGGCUAACUCUGUGCCAGCCGCCGCCGUAAGAC